CCUACGGGAGGCAGCAGUGGGGAAUAUUGCACAAUGGGGGAAACCCUGAUGCAGCGACGCCGCGUGAGUGAAGAAGUAUUUCGGUAUGUAAAGCUCUAUCAGCAGGGAAGAAGAAAGACGGUACCUGACUAAGAAGCCCCGGCUAACUACGUGCCAGCAGCCGCGGUAAUACGGAGGGGGCAAGCGUUCUCCGGAUUUACGGGGUGUAAAGGGAGCGUAGGCGGCUGUGCAAGUCUGAAGUGAAAGGCCAGGGCUCAACCCUGGGACUGCUUUGGAAACUGUGGAGCUAGAGUGCUGGAGAGGUAAGUGGAAUUCCUGGUGUAGCGGUGAAAUGCGUAGAUAUUAGGAGGAACACCAGUGGCGAAGGCGGCUUACUGGACAGUAACUGACGUUGAGGCUCGAAAGCGUGGGGAGCAAACAGGAUUAGAUACCCUAGUAGUC
rnacentral:rRNA from 1 species